UACGUAGGGUGCAAGCGUUAAUCGGAAUUACUGGGCGUAAAGCGUGCGCAGGCGGUUUUUGUAAGUCAGAUGUGAAAUCCCCCGGGCUUAACCUGGGACUGCGUUUGAAACUACAAGGCUAGAGUGUGGCAGAGGGGGGGUGGAAUUCCACGUGUAGCAGUGAAAUGCGUAGAGAUGUGGAGGAAUACCGAUGGCGAAGGCAGCCCCCUGGGAUAACACUGACGCUCAUGCACGAAAGCGUGGGGAGCAAACAGG
rnacentral:rRNA from 1 species